UACGAAGGGUGCAAGCGUUAUUCGGAUUUAUUGGGCGUAAAGGGUUCGUAGGCGGGAUUGUAAGUCAAGUGUGAAAUCCCCAAGCUUAACUUGGGACGUGCAUUUGAAACUGUGAUUCUUGAGUCAUUGAGAGGGUGGUGGAAUUGUUGGUGUAGGAGUGACAUCCGUAGAGAUCAACAGGAACAUCAGAGGCGAAAGCGGCCACCUGGCAAUGUACUGACGCUGAGGAACGAAAGCGUGGGGAGCAAACAGG
rnacentral:rRNA from 1 species